rnacentral:tRNA from 1 species
GGACCCUUAGCUCAGUUGGUCAGAGCUGUCGGCCCAUAACCGACUGGUCGUAGGUUCGAGCCCUACAGGGUCCA